rfam:Schistosoma curassoni strain Dakar, Senegal genome assembly, scaffold: SCTD_contig0016901
AUCUAGAUGACGAGUCCCAAAUAGGACGAAACGUGCAUCGUGAAU